UUGUUGCUCCUAGAUUGAUUUUGAUGACUACAAAACAGUUUGAAGGGAUACAAAUAUUUUUUAUUUGAAAAAGACCUUAUGCUCUACAAGGGCAAAAUCAUAAUUUUAUCAAAACUCUGAUUUGAUAGCAUCAUCGUGUAGAACAAAUGAUAUGUAAUCUAUUGGUGAAAGUUUCAUGGUUUUUGGACUUAUAUUUUUGGAGUUAUGAAGGUUUGAAGUUCAUGAGUCGACUCAUGAGUCAACUCAUGAAACUAUGAGCUGAUUGGCACGCAAAGAUUAGCCAUGGCACGCUGGUUUUCUGGCUUAGCACAACCUGUGAGUCGACUCAUGAGUCGACCCACAAGGCNN
rnacentral:lncRNA from 1 species